rnacentral:rRNA from 1 species
ACGCUAUCACUCCUACGGGAGGCAGCAGUGGGGAAUCUUAGACAAUGGGGGCAACCCUGAUCUAGCCAUGCCGCGUGAGUGAUGAAGGCCUUAGGGUCGUAAAGCUCUUUCGCCAGGGAUGAUAAUGACAGUACCUGGUAAAGAAACCCCGGCUAACUCCGUGCCAGCACGCCGGCGGAUGAUACGGAGGGGGUUAGCGUUGUUCGGAAUUACUGGGCGUAAAGCGCGCGUAGGCGGACUAGAAAGUUGGGGGUGAAAUCCCGGGGCUCAACCUCGGAACUGCCUUCAAAACUCCUAGUCUAGAGUUCGAGAGAGGUGAGUGGAAUUCCAAGUGUAGAGGUGAAAUUCGUAGAUAUUUGGAGGAACACCAGUGGCGAAGGCGGCUCACUGGCUCGAUACUGACGCUGAGGUGCGAAAGUGUGGGGAGCAAACAGGAUUAGAUACCCUGGUAG